UUGGUUACAAGAAAACCUAAGGUCACUAAUUAAAAAUAAAAUAAGAGUGAUAAAUAACUAAAUAAGUAAGCAAAAGGAAAUGAGUAAGAUAUUAAUGAUAACGAUUUAAUGCGACUAACGGUUUACGAUGAAUACGAGCAAUACGAACGAUAGUUUAAUUACGAAAGGCGAUGAACUAAUUAACGAUAAAUACGAGCGAUACGAACGAUGUUUACGAAACGAACAAGUUAGUUGGGGUCGUAACGAAUAACGAUUUGAUUAAUUAUUUCGAGGGCUAUGAGAUAAACGAAGUAGGCCACACGCUCGGUAGUCCUAACGUUAUGUGCGAGUGCUAGUUACGCCGAACUUCGAAACGUGUUGCGAUACAAUAAAGAAAAGGUAAGGCGACUAAUACUUAAUCUUAAUGCGAUGGAAUGGAAGUACCAUGGGCACCUGCCUCCUUCGAUAUCCACGACGAGAUGUCGAAACACAGCGGCGUCGCAGCGAAGUUCCAGUCGAUGUCGAGUCGAGGUUUUUGGUGAUUCUCCAGCUGUUCUGGGAGGGCUCACAACUGCCCACGACAGUUGGAAUUCAUAGAAUUCGUUCUCCCACUCGAAACUGGCUCCAAUUUUCGAUCACGGGAAUAGCAAGAUCAGCGACAAAACAAAAAAACUGCAAGGAGAGCAAAGUCUGAGAAGAUGUUCGAACUCAGUCAACCCCAAGGGUUCCACAUGUCACAUGCACUUGGGAUGCCAGGGAAAAGCUAAUCAAAAGAUUUACCUGCGGAUCGACUGCAGCUUCUCCGAUGUUAGCGGGAUGGUCUAGUGCCCUUAACCCAAAAUCCGACAAAGUCGUAGUGCUCGAAUGCACUAUAUCUUUUACAGCUCACAAAUGCGCUCCAAGCGAUAGCACCUUUUAGGGGACCCAACAGAUCCAACGAAUGCGAUUCCAAACGUAACACCAAAUAAAAGGUUGCUAAAACGAACUGCAAAAGAGGAAAGCACUAACCCCCAACACCAUUCAACACGAAGUACCAAAGCAAAAUGGAUUCCCUUCCACCUGCGAUGACGUGGCAAGGUAACGAAGCGAGAAUUAACGGAAGUUUGGCCCUCUAGUGGCAAACUUACGAAACGUUGAAUUCCGACGAAAAUCCCUAAUCGAUGUAACUAUUAAGUGGAUGCGAUGGUUAUUACAAAAGAAAAAAAAACAAACAAGGCUAUCAAGAUUCCAGAAAUGACGAAGACUCUAGGGGACGCUCCACGGCGUUUGUUCCCACCUAGAGUGAAGCUCUGGGAUGGCGCGAUCCAUCCAGUUCCUUAUAGCAAGAACCAAGCUGAAACGAUCCAGAAGACCGAUCUACAAACAGCGAGGCUGAAACACUCAUCUGAGCCCCUCCAAGCUCAGAAUCAUCGCGACAGUCUUGCGACUGGGGGAGUCAAAAGCUCGGGACGAACCCUCCACCAAAGUUGUCCUUCAUUGCCACCGUGCCCAACCCAACCACCCAUGCACGAAAUGACGAAACGAAAAAAAAACGAGUAAACAAAAUGUAAUCCGAUCCAAGAAUGCCAAUAAAAACCGAAAUAGCUA